rnacentral:ncRNA from 1 species
UCCAUCGCGAGGUGGAAUCUGAAGGAAGCCGCAGGCAAAACCCUGGCUCGACGAACAGAAACCGCAUAUGAGGCGGCCGCGCCGGAUGAGAAGGCCAAUAUCUUCAAAGUCCGAUACCUGUACGGAAGGCGCGGACGUAAAUGCGGCGGGCAUAAGGGGGAAGGUGGGUGUG